rnacentral:rRNA from 1 species
AGUGAACGCUGGCGGUAGGCCUAACACAUGCAAGUCGAACGGCAGCACAGUAAGAGCUUGCUCUUACGGGUGGCGAGUGGCGGACGGGUGAGGAAUACAUCGGAAUCUACUUUUUCGUGGGGGAUAACGUAGGGAAACUUACGCUAAUACCGCAUACGACCUACGGGUGAAAGCAGGGGAUCUUCGGACCUUGCACGAUUGAAUGAGCCGAUGUCGGAUUAGCUAGUUGGCGGGGUAAAGGCCCACCAAGGCGACGAUCCGUAGCUGGUCUGAGAGGAUGAUCAGCCACACUGGAACGGAGACACGGUCCAGACUCCUACGGGAGGCAGCAGUGGGGAAUAUUGGACAAUGGGCGCAAGCCUGAUCCAGCCAUACCGCGUGGGUGAAGAAGGCCUUCGGGUUGUAAAGCCCUUUUGUUGGGAAAGAAAAGCAGCAGGUUAAUACCCCGCUGUUCUGACGGUACCCAAAGAAUAAGCACCGGCUAACUUCGUG